rnacentral:misc_RNA from 1 species
GGAGGCGGAGGCCGGAGCGAGUCAACUCUGUCGCUCUAUUCGUUGAAAGAAGAAGAAGAUGGGGAGGAAAUCGGGGAAGAGAAACAUUUGGGUUAUGGGUUAAGAGAGAAUCCGAAGAAGAGUUCAAGGAUUGUAGAUCCUGAGUUUUUGGAUGCUGGGUCAGUUGUACAUGACAGGGAUCAAAGUGAAACGGAGUCAACAAAGAAGCCAACUCGGAGGAGAUCUAAGAGAACUCGAAGAAUGUUUGUAUCAGAUGAAGCUGCUGUUGAUGAUCAUCCAGAGGUGAAAAAAGAGAAAUCAGCUGAAUUUGAACCUGUAAGUUCGUUUUCCGAUACUUCCCCUGAAGAAGACAUUGCUGUUUGU